GUCUUUUCAAAAGAUGUUAUUUAAUCUUUUUAGAUUCAUAUAAGUAUUUCGACAUAGAACCAACACAAUUUAGUUGAUCUUUCAAUUUCAAACAGAAAAUCCAUCAUUAUGCAAUUCACCUGGUUCUUUGCCGUCAUCUGCGCUUUGUUCGCCCUUGUUUCCGGCCAAAACUGCCCACACAACUCGAAAUUGGAUAAGGCCUCCAACUUGUGCGUCGCUGAGCGUCCUAUUCAUGGUGAAUGCCCUGCACAAUUCAAAUACAACCUCAACAUUAACAAAUGUGUCUACGCUUUAAGAUAAACUAAUGAAUUUUGUGAUAAAUUUUUAAAUAAUGAUUAAAUGAGUAAAUUUUGUAUUUAAUUAGAAAAGAA